UAGCCACGGUAAUACCAGCUCUCCGAGUGGUGGGGACGUUUAUUGGGCCUAAAGCAUCCGUAGCCGGCUGGGCAAGUCCCCUGUUAAAUCCAGCGAUUUAAUCGUUGGACUGGCGGGGGGAUACUGCUCGGCGUAGGGGGCGGGAGAGGCCGACGGUAUUCGUCGGGGGUAGGGGUGAAAUCCUAUAACUCCCAAGAGGACCACCAGUGGCGAAGGC
rnacentral:rRNA from 1 species